GACCUCUUUAAUGUUGAGACAGGGCCUCUGUAAGUUACUAAGUUGCCCAACUGGAACUCUAGCUCGAAGUCCUCCUGCCUCAGCCUCCCUAGUGCUGGGAUGACAGGCGUGCGUCACCACGCUGGGCCGGGACCUGCUUCUGGACUCUUACCUGAGACAGUGAGAUUACAUGCCUGUGCCACCAUAGCUGAUCAGAGCCAUCCUUUCAGUGUGUCUCUUGACUGGUGUCUUAGUGACUGCGGUCCGAGCAAACCACACUCAGACCCGCUUUGCGCGCCGCCGGCCCGGCCGGGACCCCGCCAGGGCAGCUGGGCUUGGGAGGAGCAGAUCGGUCACCCAGCCAGGGCCUGUAAUUCCAGCACUCGGGAGGCUGAGGCAGAGGAUCGCUUCCGAGUUCGAGGCCAACCGGAACUACAUGGCGAGACCCUGUCUGAAAACAGUAAAAUGUCACCUAGUGGACCCUGUGCAGGGGGGGACCCAGUGAAGACUGUCGUUCCAACAAAAGAGGACGUCAGUCCUUGAAAAGUGACCUCGACCCGUGUGAGGGGAAGAGCUCACCCAUGGGACCUCUAUACCAGGGACGCACAGGCGUGAGAGUGUUUGUCUGGAUGCUGACAAGUACGAAGUCCGACCCGGUGCUGGCGCAGAUCCGCGGGGACCCGGGCUACUCCUGGAUGGACAUCAUCACCAUCUGCAGGGACAAACUGCCCGACUUUGAGAAGAAGAUCCAGAUCUUCUACACGGAGCACUUGCACCUGGACGAGGAGAUCCGCUACAUCCUGGAUGGCAGCGGGUACUUCGAUGUCAGGGACAAGGAGGACAGGUGGAUCCGGAUCUCCAUGGAGAAGGGCGACAUGAUCACCCUGCCAGCCGGCAUCUACCACCGCUUCACACUGGACGA
rnacentral:lncRNA from 1 species